rnacentral:rRNA from 1 species
UGAGUAACCUGCCCUUAACUCUGGGAUAAGCCUGGGAAACUGGGUCUAAUACCGGAUAUGACUCCUCAUCGCAUGAUCGGAGGUGGAAAGCUCCGGCGGAGAAGGAUGAGCUCGCGGCCUAUCAGCUAGUUGGUGUGGGUAAUGGCCCACCAAGGCGACGACGGGUAGCCGGCCUGAGAGGGUGACCGGCCACACUGGGACUGAGACACGGCCCAGACCUCCGUACGGGAGG